AUACAACAAACUGCCUUAGGUUUUCUUUGAUUUACAGGUUUUCUUAUUUUUUAAAGGCCUACAAGAAAAAGCAAAGGCUUAAGGGAAAGACUGAAAUUUCCAGAGUGUUCCCUCAUCACACACACCCCUUCACACAAGCCUGGCAGAGUUGGAAAGAAACUAAGAUUUCAAAUAAGGACAUCGAGGACCAGGAAGUAUAAAUCGCUCAGGGUCUCUUUGAGUAAGUAUUUCAAACUCAAAUUCUCCGAUUCUGCAACUAAUACGUACGCAUCGAGGUUGUAGGAGCACUUGCUCGGAGAGCUGUACGACUAGAUUCUACCGGUUCCGAGAUGCUUUCCAGGCUCGAGACUGCCCAUUCACAGAGAGAGCGAAAAAAAAAG
rnacentral:lncRNA from 1 species